CUCGUCUGAUCUCGGAAGUCAAUCAAUCUCGGGCUUGGUUAGUACUUGGAUGGGUGACCGCUUGGGAAUACCAAGUGUGAUAAGCA
rnacentral:rRNA from 1 species